rnacentral:rRNA from 1 species
GUAGGUGGCAAGCGUUGUCCGGAAUUAUUGGGCGUAAAGCGCGCGCAGGUGGUUCUUUAAGUCUGAUGUGAAAGCCCCCGGCUCAACCGGGGAGGGUCAUUGGAAACUGGGGAACUUGAGUGCAGGAGAGGAAAGUGGAAUUCCACGUGUAGCGGUGAAAUGCGUAGAUAUGUGGAGGAACACCAGUGGCGAAGGCGACUUUCUGGCCUGUAACUGACACUGAGGCGCGAAAGCGUGGGGAGCAAACAGGGAUUAGAUACCCUGGUAGUCCACGCCGUAAACGAUGAGUGCUAAGUGUUGGGGGGGUUUCCGCCCCCUCAGUGCUGCAGCUAACGCAUUAAGCACUCCGGCCCUGGGAGUACGGUCGCAAGACUG